rnacentral:rRNA from 1 species
CGGGUGGUAAUGCCGGAUGUUCCACAUGAUCGCAUGUGAUUGUGGGAAAGAUUUUAUCGGCGUGGGAUGGGGUCGCGUCCUAUCAGCUUGUUGGUGAGGUAACGGCUCACCAAGGCUUCGACGGGUAGCCGGCCUGAGAGGGCGACCGGCCACAUUGGGACUGAGAUACGGCCCAGACUCCUACGGGAGGCAGCAGUGGGGAAUAUUGCACAAUGGGCGCAAGCCUGAUGCAGCGACGCCGCGUGAGGGAUGGAGGCCUUCGGGUUGUAAACCUCUUUUGUUUGGGAGCAAGCCUUCGGGUGAGUGUACCUUUCGAAUAAGCGCCGGCUAACUACGUGCCAGCAGCCGCGGUAAUACGUAGGGCGCAAGCGUUAUCCGGAUUUAUUGGGCGUAAAGGGCUCGUAGGCGGCUCGUCGCGUCCGGUGUGAAAGUCCAUCGCUUAACGGUGGAUCUGCGCCGGGUACGGGCGGGCUGGAGUGCGGUAGGGGAGACUGGAAUUCCCGGUGUAACGGUGGAAUGUGUAGAUAUCGGAA